rnacentral:lncRNA from 1 species
GGACCUUGGUAUGCUGCGCACCGGUCCUCUGGCCCACUGUUGUUUUCUCACGUUUUCUCACCUUUCCAAACAUGUCCAUGCCUAGAAGCUGGAGACCCCAUCCACACUGCAGUACCAGGGAUUCUUCCUGGACAGUGAUAACCAGAUCCAUCUCUCAUAGCAGGUAAUCAUUGUGUCCUGAUGUCUGUCACCCCAAGAGGCCAUGACUUUGCAAAGGCAAAGGCAAGGACUGUGCUGGAUCUCCCACUCUGCUUCCUCCUCAUCAUCCACAAGAAGUCCUGCCUGCCCUUCGGCUCCCUGACAUGGGCUUUCCCAAUGGGCACUACUAUCACAGCUAUAUCCAGGGUAGCAACUUCCCUGGACUAGAGGUGGGGUGACUGCUGGCCGAACAAGAGGCGGGCCCCAGGGUGAAGGACCUUGCUCGAUCUCCCCUCAGUUUGGUCUACCAGCCGCGCUUGUCAAGCACUCUGCCAGGAGUCUGGGGCAACUGAUCUUUGGAAAUGUGAGUCCUGGAGGCUGAGCCUGUUCCCCAGAGCCCCUAGCAGACCCCCCGGCCAACUCUUAUUGGAGGGACAAGGCAGUAGACAAGGAGUCGCUGGGAAUUUUGGUUUGCUUGUAUGCUUGCCUUCGCACAUCCCCACCUCUCCCUGCACCUGGUUCUAUUUGUAUCUGAGCUUCUCAAACCUGCAAUAAUGUGACACCUAGCGCGAGCUGGCUCUGGAGAUG